rnacentral:rRNA from 1 species
CCUACGGGGGGCAGCAGUGGGGAAUAUUGCGCAAUGGGCGCAAGCCUGACGCAGCGACGCCGCGUGAGGGAUGAAGGUCCUCGGAUUGUAAACCUCUGUCAGCAGGGAAGAACGGUCACUGUGCUAUUCAUCAGUGAGUUGACGGUACUCUCAAAGUAAGCACCGGCUAACUCCGUGCCAGCAGCCGCGGUAAUACGGAGGGUGCGAGCGUUAAUCGGAAUUACUGGGCGUAAAGCGCUCGUAGGCGGUAGGUCAAGUCAAGGGUGAAAUCCCCGCGCUCAACGUGGGAACUGCCUUUGUGACUGGCAAGCUGGAGUGUGUGAGAGGAUGGUGGAAUUCCAGGUGUAGGAGUGAAAUCCGUAGAUAUGUGGAAGAACAUCGAUGGCGAAGGCAGCUAUCUGGCACAUAACUGACGCUGAGGAGCGAAAGCGUGGGUAGCAAACAGGAUUAGAUACCCCGGUAGUC